rnacentral:rRNA from 1 species
CUGACGCAGCAACGCCGCGUGCGGGAUGACGGCCUUCGGGUUGUAAACCGCUUUCAGCAGGGACGAAGGGUCACCUUGACGGUACCUGCAGAAGAAGCACCGGCUAACUACGUGCCAGCAGCCGCGGUGAUACGUAGGGUGCGAGCGUUGUCCGGAAUUAUUGGGCGUAAAGAGCUUGUAGGCGGUCUGUUGCGUCGGAAGUGAAAACUCAGGGCUUAACCCUGAGCCUGCUUUCGAUACGGGCAGACUUGAGGGAUGUAGGGGAGAACGGAAUUCCUGGUGGAGCGGUGGAAUGCGCAGAUAUCAGGAGGAACACCAGUGGCGAAGGCGGUUCUCUGGACAUUUCCUGACGCUGAGAAGCGAAAGCGUGGGGAGCAAACAGGCUUAGAUACCCUGGUAGUCCACGCCGUAAACGGUGGGCACUAGGUGUGGGUUCCAUUCCACGGAAUCCGUGCCGAAGCUAACGCAUUAAGUGCCCCGCCUGGGGAGUACGGCCGCAAGGCUAAAACUCAAAGGAAUUGACGGGGGCCCGCACAAGCGGCGGAGCAUGCGGAUUAAUUCGAUGCAACGCGAAGAACCUUACCUGGGUUUGACAUAUGCCGGAUACACCUAGAGAUAGGUGCCCCGCAAGGCCGG